rnacentral:rRNA from 1 species
GACGUAGGGCGCGAGCGUUGUCCGGAUUUAUUGGGCGUAAAGAGCUCGUAGGCGGCUUGUCGCGUCGUCCGUGAAAACCCACAGCUCAACUGUGGGCUUGCGGUCGAUACGGGCAGGCUAGAGUUCGGUAGGGGAGACUGGAAUUCCUGGUGUAGCGGUGGAAUGCGCAGAUAUCUGGAGGAAUACCGGUGGCGAAGGCGGCAUCCUGGACCGAUAUUGACGCUGAGGAGCGAAAGCCAGGGGAGCAAACGGG